UACGGAGGAUGCAAGCGUUAUCCGGAAUUAUUGGGCGUAAAGCGUCCGCAGGUGGCACUUCAAGUCUGCUGUCAAAGACCGGGGCUUAACCCUGGAAAGGCAGUGGAAACUGAAGCGCUAGAGUGUGGACAGGGGUAGAGGGAAUUCCCGGUGUAGCGGUGAAAUGCGUAGAGAUCGGGAAGAACAUCGGUGGCGAAAGCGCUCUACUGGGCCAUAACUGACACUCAGGGACGAAAGCUAGGGGAGCGAAUGGG
rnacentral:rRNA from 1 species